rnacentral:rRNA from 1 species
UACGGAGGGGACUAGCGUUGUUCGGAAUUACUGGGCGUAAAGCGCGCGUAGGCGGCUUUGUAAGUUAGAGGUGAAAGCCCAGGGCUCAACCCUGGAAUUGCCUUUAAGACUGCAUCGCUUGAACAUCGGAGAGGUAAGUGGAAUUCCGAGUGUAGAGGUGAAAUUCGUAGAUAUUCGGAAGAACACCAGUGGCGAAGGCGACUUACUGGACGAUUGUUGACGCUGAGGUGCGAAAGCGUGGGGAGCAAACGGG